UACGGAGGGGGCAAGCGUUGUUCGGAAUUACUGGGCGUAAAGGGCUCGUAGGUGGCCAACUAAGUCAGACGUGAAAUCCCUCGGCUUAACCGGGGAACUGCGUCUGAUACUGGAUGGCUUGAGUUCGGGAGAGGGAUGCGGAAUUCCAGGUGUAGCGGUGAAAUGCGUAGAUAUCUGGAGGAACACCGGUGGCGAAGGCGGCAUCCUGGACCGAUACUGACGCUGAGGAGCGAAAGCCAGGGGAGCAAACGGG
rnacentral:rRNA from 1 species